AUUGAACGCUGGCGGAAUGCUUUACACAUGCAAGUCGAACGGCAGCACGGGGCAACCUGGUGGCGAGUGGCGAACGGGUGAGUAAUACAUCGGAACGUGCCCAAUCGUGGGGGAUAACGUAGCGAAAGUUACGCUAAUACCGCAUACGAUCUACGGAUGAAAGCGGGGGAUCGCAAGACCUCGCGCGAAUGGAGCGGCCGAUGUCAGAUUAGGUAGUUGGUGGGGUAAAGGCUCACCAAGCCAACGAUCUGUAGCUGGUCUGAGAGGACGACCAGCCACACUGGAACUGAGACACGGUCCAGACUCCUACGGGAGGCAGCAGUGGGGAAUUUUGGACAAUGGGCGCAAGCCUGAUCCAGCCAUUCCGCGUGCAGGAUGAAGGCCUUCGGGUUGUAACUAGCUUUUGUACGGUAACGAAACGGCGAGCUCUAAUACAGUUGUCUAAUGACGGUACCGUAAGAAUAAGACACCGGCUAACUACGUGCCAGCAGCCGCGGUAAACG
rnacentral:rRNA from 1 species